GUUGCCAGCCCGCUCAGAAACUCAAAGGAAUUGACGGGGCCCGCACAAGCGGAGGAGCAUGUGGUUAAUUCGAUGAUACGCGAGGAACCUUACCUGGGCUCGAACGUAAGAUGACUGUAGGUGAAAGCUUACAUCUCUUCGGAGCAUUUUACGAGGUGCUGCAUGGUUGUCGUCAGCUCGUGCCGUGAGGUGUCGGGUUAAGUCCCAUAACGAGCGCAACCCCUACCUUUAGUUGCCAUCAGGUUAAGCUGGGGACUCUAAAGGAACUGCCUACGCAAGUAGUGAGGAAGGCGGGGAUGACGUCAAAUCAGCACGGCCCUUACGUCCAGGGCUACACACGUGCUACGAUGGCCGAUACAGAGGGCAGCUACCUGGUGACAGGAUGCAAAUCUCCAAAGUCGGUCUCAGUUCGGAUCGGAGUCUGCAACCCGACUCCGUGAAGUUGGAUUCGCUAGUAAUCGCGCAUCAGCCAUGGCGCGGUGAAUACGUUCCCGGGCCUU
rnacentral:rRNA from 1 species